AUUGAACGCUGGCGGCAUGCUUUACACAUGCAAGUCGAACGGCAGCGGGGAGGAGCUUGCUUCUCUGCCGGCGAGUGGCGAACGGGUGAGUAAUACAUCGGAACGUGUCGAGAAGAGGGGGAUAACCACCCGAAAGGGUGGCUAAUACCGCAUAAAUUCUGAGGAAGAAAGCUGGGGACCUAGGAAUAGGCCUAGCGCUUUUUGAGCGGCCGAUGUCGGAUUAGCUAGUUGGUGGGGUAAAGGCUCACCAAGGCGAAGAUCUGUAGCGGGUCUGAGAGGAUGUACCGCCACACUGGGACUGAGACACGGCCCAGACUCCUACGGGAGGCAGCAGUGGGGAAUUUUGGACAAUGGGGGCAACCCUGCUCCAGCCAUGCCGCGUGUAUGAAGAAGGCCUUAGGGUUGUAAAGUACUUUUGUUAGGGAAGAAAAGUCAGCUGUGAAUAAUGGCUGAUACUGACGGUACCUAAAGAAUAAGCACCGGCUAACUACGUG
rnacentral:rRNA from 1 species